rnacentral:lncRNA from 1 species
UUUUUUUUUUUUUUUUGGUUGGAUGGUCUCUGGUUAUUAUCUGCUUGAGUGCUUUCUUUUUUUUUUUUCGUUUUUGUGAAUGCAAUAUUUGGUUUUGGCUUGUGGUUGCCCUGUUUUUUAAGUAUGCUAACCCCUUCCCAUAAUUGUGUGUUUUAGCCUGAUCGUCCUGUGGUUUCAAACAUUUCAUUACUAUAUUAAAAUUAGGAAGCGAAACAAACAAUAAGGGUCUAUUUAUUUCCUAACAUUCCUUGCCCUCAUUUUAUGAUUUUGAUGACUCUUUUUUUUCUUUUUAAUUUUAUUUUGUUUGAAACAUGUUCAUGAUUUAAUCUGUAUGCUGGCUUAUUUGAGUGACUGCUCUCUGAUUGUGGUUUCCUCAGUCCUAGUUCUUCCUCUUCUUUUAUUUUUCUAUUUCCUCCAUUUCCUUCCUUCCUUUCUUUUUGAUUUAGAAAAGCCCUUUCAGUAUUUCUUUUAGCCUGGGUUUUGCAUUGCUGUAUUCUUUUAGUUUUUGUUUGUUGGAAAAAAAAUUUAUCUCCCCUUCUAUUUUAAAUGAUAUUCUUGGUGGAUAGAGUAUUCUAAGUUGCAUAUUUUUUCCUUUGAGCACUUUAAAUAUCUCUUGCCAUUCCCUCCUGGCCUGUAGUGUUUCUGUAGAGAAAUCAGCUGAUAUUCUUAUGGGGGUUCCCUUGUAGGUAACAUUCUGUUUUUUCUCUUUGCUUUUCCCAUGGUUGAUUUCUAAUUUCAUGGCAUUGUGGUCAGAGAAGAUACUUGAGAUAAUUUCUAUGCUCCUAAAUUUAUUGAGAUUCGCUUUGUGUCCCAAUAUGUGGUCGAUUCUUGAGAAUGUUCCAUGAGCAUUUGAGAAGAAUGUGUAUUCUGAUUUUUUUGGAUGUAGUGUCCUGAAGAUAUCAAUUAAGUCUAACUUUUCUAUUGUUUCCUUUAGGAUCUCUGUUGCUUUAUUGGUUUUCUGUCUAGAGGAUCUGUCCAUUGAUGUGAGGGGGGUAUUUAGGUCUCCUACUAUGAUUGUAUUCUCAUCAAUAUCUCCCUUUAUGUCUGUUAAUAUUUGUUGUAUGUAUCUGGGUGCUCCUAUAUUUGGGGCAUAUAUGUUGAUGAUAGUAACAUCCUCUCCUUGGAUGGAUCCCUUAAUCAUUAAAUAGUGUCCUUCUUUGUCUUUCUUUAUGUCUUUUGUUUUAAAGUCUAUUUUGUCUGAUAUGAGCGUUGCGACUCCUGCUUUUCUGUCAUGUCUAUUGGCGUGAAAUAUUUUUCCCCACCCUUUCACUUUCAAUCUAUAUGUAUCUUUUGUCCUAAGGUGAGUUUCUUGUAGGCAGCAUAUUGAAGGUUUUUGCCUUUUUAUCCACUCAGCCACUCUGUGUCUUUUGAUUGGGGCAUUCAGUCCAUUGACAUUUAAGGUGAUAAUUGAUAGAUGAUUAUUUAUUGCCAUUUGAACCUCGUGUUCCAGUUGAUUCUAUGGUUCUCCAUUCUUCCUCUUUUUUUUUUUUUUGGUUGGAUGGUCUCCUGUUAUUAUCUGCUUGAGAGUGUUUUUUUUUUUUCAUUUUUUGCAAAUGCAAUAUUUGGUUUUGGCUUGUGGUUGCCCUGUUUUUUAAGUAUGCUAACCCCUUCCCAUAAUUGUGUGUUUUAGCCUGAUGGUCCUGUAAGUUCAAACACUUCAUUAGUACAUUAAAAUUAAGAAGUGAAACAUACAAACAACCAAACAAAAAGGGUUAUUUAUUUCCUAACAUCCCUUGCCCA